AAUUAUGUGAGGGUUCACGGUACAUGUAUUAAGAUUACAUACCAUGAUAAAUAGUCUUAUAUCUUGAUACGUUACUUUCAAGACUUUUAAGUCCAGCCUGUUAGAAAAGAUUGGUGUUUUUUUUCACUAGAAUUUGAUUAAUUUUAUUUUAUCACAUUUUAUAUUACAUAUUCUGUUCAUUUGAAACUGUUUGGUAAUGUACAGAAGAGUUACUGGGGAUUAUAGCAUGUAUAUCACUAUUAUAAAUUAAUCAUGUAGUACACCCACUCACCCUCCUCAUAAUAAUUGCCUUCUUAGCCGUGAAAUUUUAAAAACAAUGAUAUGGUAUGCAUAAUAACAUAAUAAAGAAAAUUAUCAGAUCUAUCAGGUAUACAAAUUUAAGCUAGUGAGAUUUUAGCAGUUUGUUAAAUUUGAAAAAAAAAACCAACUUUGCUGUAUUGAUAUGUGAUUUAAGGUAAUCAUAGUUUUGAUUCAUAUCAUUCUUCAUAAAUUUAGGAAUAAACAACACAGUAAAUCAAGGUAAAUAUGUUUGUGUUUGUGUAACGUUAUGCAUGAUACAUUAUGCAAACAUUCAAUAUUUGUUGAGUUUUUGCAUAUCUCUUGGUAAUAACUAUUAAAUAUUGAAAAUAUUGAC
rnacentral:sRNA from 1 species